ACCGGCGGCUCGAGUGGUGGCCACUAUUACUGGGCUUAAAGCGUUCGUAGCUGGCUUGUUAAGUCUCUGGGGAAAUCUUCCGGCUCAACCGGAAGGCGUCUCAGGGAUACUGGCAGGCUAGGGACCGGAAGAGGUGAGAGGUACUCCAGGGGUAGGAGUGAACGCCUGUAGUCCGUGGGGGACGACCUGUGGGGAAGGCGUCUCACCAGGACGGGUCCGACGGUGAGGACCGAAAGCUGGGGGAGCAAACAG
rnacentral:rRNA from 1 species